GCCUGCGUGGCGGAAUCGGUAGACGCUGCAGACUUAAAAUCUGUUGUCCUUUUUGGACGUGCCGGUUCAAGUCCGGCCGCGGGCACCA
rnacentral:tRNA from 1 species